AUUGAACGCUGGCGGCAGGCCUAACACAUGCAAGUCGAGCGAGCGGCGGACGGGUGAGUAAUGUCUGUGAAACUGCCUGUUGGAGGGGGGUAACACUUGGAAACGGUAGAUAAUACCGCAUACCAUAUGAGGUGCGCAGAUGGGAUUAGCUAGUGGGGGGGGAAACGGCUCACCAAGGCGACGAUCCCUAGCUGGUCUGUGAGGAUGACCAGCCACACUGGAACUGAGACACGGUCCAGACUCCUACGGGAGGCAGCAGUGGGGAAUAUUGCACAAUGGGCGCAAGCCUGAUGCAGCCAUGCCGCGUGUAUGAAGAAGGCCUUCGGGUUGUAAAGUACUUUCAGCGGGGAGGCGUUACUCGCAGAAGAAGCACCGGCUAACUCCGUGCCAGCAGCCGCGGUAAUAC
rnacentral:rRNA from 1 species